rnacentral:rRNA from 1 species
ACGGGAGGCAGCAGUGGGGAAUAUUGCACAAUGGGGGAAACCCUGAUGCAGCAACGCCGCGUGAAGGAUGAAGGUCUUCGGAUCGUAAACUUCUGUCCUUGGGGACGAAUAAUGACGGUACCCUUGGAGGAAGCCCCGGCUAACUACGUGCCAGCAGCCGCGGUAAUACGUAGGGGGCAAGCGUUAUCCGGAAUUAUUGGGCGUAAAGAGUGCGUAGGCGGUUUGUUAAGCGCGGGGUGAAAGGCAAUGGCUCAACCAUUGUUAGCCUUGCGAACUGGCAGACUUGAGUGCAGGAGGGGAAAGUGGAAUUCCUAGUGUAGCGGUGAAAUGCGUAGAUAUUAGGAGGAACACCAGUGGCGAAGGCGACUUUCUGGACUGUAACUGACGCUGAGGCACGAAAGUGUGGGGAGCAAACAGGAUUAGAUACCCUGGUA